rnacentral:rRNA from 1 species
UACGUAGGGUGCGAGCGUUGUCCGGAAUUAUUGGGCGUAAAGAGCUCGUAGGCGGUCUGUCGCGUCGAAUGUGAAAACCCGGGGCUCAACUCCGGGCUUGCAUUCGAUACGGGCAGGCUAGAGUUCGGUAGGGGAGUCUGGAAUUCCUGGUGUAGCGGUGAAAUGCGCAGAUAUCAGGAGGAACACCGGUGGCGAAGGCGGGACUCUGGGCCGAGAUUGACGCUGAUGAGCGAAAGCUAGGGGAGCAAACGGG